AUUGAACGCUGGCGGCAGGCCUAACACAUGCAAGUCGAGCGAGCGGAGGACGGGUGAGUAAUGUCUGGGAAACUGCCUGAUGGAGGUGGAUAACUACUGGAAACGGUAGAUAAUACCGCAUACCAUCAGAUGUGCCCAGAUGGGGUUAGCUAGUCGGUUGGGUAAUGGCUCACCUAGGCGACGAUCCCUAGCUGGUCUGAGAGGAGGACCAGCCACACUGGAACGGAGACACGGUCCAGACUCCUACGGGAGGCAGCAGUGGGGAAUAUUGCACAAUGGGCGCAAGCCUGAUGCAGCCAUGCCGCGUGUGUGAAGAAGGCCUUCGGGUUGUAAAGCACUUUCAGCGGGGAGGCGUUACCCGCAGAAGAAGCACCGGCUAACUACGUGCCAGCAGCCGCGGUAAUAC
rnacentral:rRNA from 1 species